AAGUCGUAACAAGGUUUCCGUAGGUGAACCUGCGGAAGGAUCAUUGCCAAUACCAGCCUGCCGGCUGCCGCGGUGGUUGUUAAGUCAACCGCACGGUUUUCCGGUCAGGUGAACCAGUACCACCUGUGCUUUGCAUGGGUACCUGGGUCAACCCUUUGUGAACCAAAACAAACCUUUCGCUUCGGCAGCAGGGCCCUAAACCAGCCCGUCAGCCUGUCGCUAGCACCAAACACAAAAUAAACUUGUUGUAAAAACAUUGUCUGACAACCAAAUUUUCGAAUGAAAAUCAAAACUUUCAACAACGGAUCUCUUGGUUCCC
rnacentral:misc_RNA from 1 species